AAGAGACAUUGCCCUUCGGGGUAUACCUCCCACCCUUUGUUUAUUAUACCUUUGUUGCUUUGGCGGGCCCGUCCUCGGACCACCGGCUUCUGCUGGUCAGUGCCCGCCAGAGGACCUAAAACUCUGUUUGUUAAUAUUGUCUGAGUACUAUAUAAUAGUUA
rnacentral:misc_RNA from 1 species